rnacentral:rRNA from 1 species
AGUUUGAUCCUGGCUCAGAUUGAACGCUGGCGGCAGGCCUAACACAUGCAAGUCGAACGGUAACAGAGAGUAGCUUGCUACUUUGCUGACGAGUGGCGGACGGGUGAGUAAUGUCUGGGGAUCUGCCUGAUGGAGGGGGAUAACUACUGGAAACGGUAGCUAAUACCGCAUAAUGUCGCAAGACCAAAGCGGGGGACUUUCGGGCCUCGCACCAUCAGAUGAACCCAGAUGGGAUUAGCUAGUAGGUAAGGUAAUGGCUUACCUAGGCGACGAUCCCUAGCUGGUCCGAGAGGAUGACCAGCCACACUGGAACUGAGACACGGUCCAGACUCCUACGGGAGGCAGCAGUGGGGAAUAUUGCACAAUGGGCGCAAGCCUGAUGCAGCCAUGCCGCGUGUAUGAAGAAGGCCUUCGGGUUGUAAAGUACUUUCAGUCAGGAGGAAGGGUGUGAAAUUAAUACUUUCAUGCAUUGACGUUACUGACAGAAGAAGCACCGGCUAACUCCGUGCCAGCAGCCGCGGUAA